GCCUCCGUGGCGCAAUUGGUUAGCGCGUUCGGCUGUUAACCGAAAGGUUGGUGGUUCGAGUCCACCUGGGGGCG
rnacentral:tRNA from 1 species